UACGUAGGGGGCAAGCGUUGUCCGGAUUUAUUGGGCGUAAAGAGCGUGUAGGCGGUCAGGUAGGUCCGUUUGUGAAAACUCGAGGCUCAACCUCGAGACGCCGAUGGAAACCAUCUGACUAGAGUCCGGAAGAGGAGAGUGGAAUUCCUGGUGUAGCGGUGAAAUGCGCAGAUAUCAGGAAGAACACCGGUGGCGAAGGCGGGAUCUCUGGGCCGAUACUGACGCUGAGGAGCGAAAGCGUGGGGAGCGAACAG
rnacentral:rRNA from 1 species